rnacentral:misc_RNA from 1 species
UCUCCGUAGGUGAACCUGCGGAGGGAUCAUUACCGAGCGAGGGCCUCCGCGUCCGACCUCCAACCCCCAUGCUAUCCGACCCCGUUGCCUCGGGGGCGACCCGGCCCCGUGCCGGGGCCCCCGGUGGACCCCCCAUCCCUGCAUCGUUGCGUCUGAGUCGAAAUAUAAAUCAAUCAAAACUUUCAACAACGGAUCUCUUGGUUCUGGCAUCGAUGAAGAACGCAGC